UACGAAGGGGGCUAGCGUUGCUCGGAAUUACUGGGCGUAAAGCGCACGUAGGCGGAUUGUUAAGUCGGGGGUGAAAUCCUGGAGCUCAACUCCAGAACUGCCUUCGAUACUGGCGAUCUCGAGUUCGGGAGAGGUGAGUGGAACUGCGAGUGUAGAGGUGAAAUUCGUAGAUAUUCGCAAGAACACCAGUGGCGAAGGCGGCUCGCUGGGACGGUACUGACGCUGAGACGCGAAAGCGUGGGGAGCAAACAGG
rnacentral:rRNA from 1 species